GUGGGGGAUAUUGCGCAAUGGGGGCAACCCUGACGCAGCAACGCCGCGUGAAGGAAGAAGGUUUUCGGAUCGUAAACUUCUUUAAGUGUGGAAGAAGAUGACGGUACACACAGAAUAAGCCACGGCUAACUACGUGCCAGCAGCCGCGGUAAUACGUAGGUGGCGAGCGUUGUCCGGAUUUACUGGGUGUAAAGGGCGUGUAGGCGGGACUGCAAGUCAGAUGUGAAAUACCGGGGCUUAACUCCGGGGCUGCAUUUGAAACUGUAGUUCUUGAGUGCCGGAGAGGAAAGCGGAAUUCCUAGUGUAGCGGUGAAAUGCGUAGAUAUUAGGAGGAACACCAGUGGCGAAGGCGGCUUUCUGGACGGUAACUGACGCUGAGGCGCGAAAGUGUGGGGAGCAAACAGGA
rnacentral:rRNA from 1 species